UACGGAGGGUGCGAGCGUUGUCCGGAAUCAUUGGGCGUAAAGGGCGCGUAGGUGGCCUGCUAAGCGUGCGGUGAAAGCUCGGGGCUCAACCCCGAGUCGGCCGUGCGAACUGGUGGGCUUGAGCACUGUAGAGGCAGGCGGAAUUCCGGGUGUAGCGGUGGAAUGCGUAGAGAUCCGGAAGAACACCGGUGGCGAAGGCGGCCUGCUGGGCUAUGGCUGACACUGAGGCGCGACAGCGUGGGGAGCAAACAGG
rnacentral:rRNA from 1 species